GGGGAUGACAGGCUUCGACGGGGAAGGCUAGCUCUGGACUGCAAGCCGAGCACGCUUUACAACUCGUAAAACUGGAAGCAAAAGCAUAAGUGCCAACCGCACGACUGCAUACAAUGCUCUCCCCAUGGCUGCCUAAUUUUUUAGGUAGCGCGGCCUAGUGCCGUGGAAGAGCCAGAUGGUUCCUUAGUCGGAACCCCGUCCCUGGUCGUUCGUUCGUUGUCCGGCGGCCAGUGGGCGACACUUUAGUCAACGUGCUCCACCUCGAUGUCGGUAGAGGUGGCUAAGCCGCCCUUUUGGGGGUGACCGACUCACUAGCGACUGACCCAGUUAGCCGGGGCGCUCGCUAGUAAAACUAAAUUGGCUAACUAAGCUUGUAGACGUUCAGCAGACGAAUUUUUCGGACGCGGGUUCGAUUCCCGCCAUCUCCACAC
rnacentral:tmRNA from 1 species